UACGUAGGGUGCAAGCGUUAAUCGGAAUUACUGGGCGUAAAGCGUGCGCAGGCGGUUAUGUAAGACAGGUGUGAAAUCCCCGGGCUUAACCUGGGAACUGCAUUUGUGACUGCAUAGCUAGAGUACGGUAGAGGGGGAUGGAAUUCCGCGUGUAGCAGUGAAAUUCGUAGAUAUCGGGAGGAACACCAGUGGCGAAGGCGGCGAUCUGGGAAGAUACUGACGCUGAGGUGCGAAAGCGUGGGGAGCAACAGG
rnacentral:rRNA from 1 species